ACCGUUGCUUCCCUGACAUUCCUUUUUUGGUGUUGUCCUGUCUACUUUUUCAGUGAUUUUAGAUCAGAAAACACCAUGAGCACACGCUGGCGAAAGCGCCGUGGACAAGCUAUCAAUUCCAAACGAGCUCAGAAACGAAGCAAGCUACUGGCUUCCAGUGCAGCUGUUGAAGAAAUCAUAGAUUUCACAGGCGAAUAUUCUGGGCUUGAAGUUGCUAAUAUAACUGGUGAUGAUUCUGUUGUGCAGCGGGAGCACAAUGAGAAGCACCCACUUGUUUCCGAAGCAGCAGAUGAAAACUCA